rnacentral:snoRNA from 1 species
AAUGCACAUAAAAACCCAAAGAAUAUUGUUCUUCAUAAUGAUAUUCUUGUCAUGUGUGCAGAUAUUAAAUGUAUCUUGUCGCCUUUCAAAAGCUGAAGUGCUGUUGGAAGUGAAAUUAAGGUCCUACAUAA